rnacentral:rRNA from 1 species
CCUACGGGCGGCAGCAGUGAGGAAUAUUGGUCAAUGGCCGAGAGGCUGAACCAGCCAAGUCGCGUGAGGGAAGACGGCCCUACGGGUUGUAAACCUCUUUUGUCGGGGAGCAAAGCGAGUCACGUGUGACUCAUUGAGAGUACCCGAUGAAAAAGCAUCGGCUAACUCCGUGCCAGCAGCCGCGGUAAUACGGAGGAUGCGAGCGUUAUCCGGAUUUAUUGGGUUUAAAGGGUGCGCAGGCGGAGGUGCAAGUCAGCGGUCAAAUUGCGGGGCUCAACCCCGUACUGCCGUUGAAACUGCAUGCCUUGAGUGCGGGAGAGGUAUGCGGAAUGCGUGGUGUAGCGGUGAAAUGCAUAGAUAUCACGAAGAACUCCGAUUGCGAAGGCAGCAUACCGGCGCGCAACUGACGCUGAUGCACGAAAGCGUGGGUAUCGAACAGGAUUAGAUACCCCUGUAGUC